UACAGAGGGGGCAAGCGUUGUUCGGAAUUACUGGGCGUAAAGGGCGCGUAGGCGGCCUGUUAAGUCGAACGUGAAAUCCCCGGGCUCAACCCGGGAACUGCGUCCGAUACUGGCAGGCUUGAAUCCGGGAGAGGGAUGCGGAAUUCCAGGUGUAGCGGUGAAAUGCGUAGAUAUCUGGAGGAACACCGGUGGCGAAGGCGGUUCUCUGGGCAUGUCCUGACGCUGAGGAGCGAAAGUGUGGGGAGCGAACAGG
rnacentral:rRNA from 1 species